CGCCAUCUUGGCCUGUCACGUGAUCAACGGAACCAAUUCUCGCGAGAACGCCACGAGUGACGCAAGGGUCCGUGUCACAAUUGUGUGAUCCUGAUCAGGCUGCCGAAGCUGUGGAUGUGGAACCUGGAACUGCAGAGGUGCCGGAUAAGUUGUUCGGGUACUUUUUCUGCAGAGAGAAGCCGAGGAUGAUGGGGAAAAUCACCUGAGAAGUGAGAGACUUUAAGGUCGUUCAUCCAUUUAUCUUCCAAGACAUAUUAGUGGACCUACACAAAUCAAUAAGAAAAGAUAAUCCAGUU